GAAUCUUGGACAAUGGGCGAAAGCCUGAUCCAGCGACGCCGCGUGACCGAUGAAGGCCUUCGGGUCGUAAAGGUCUUUCAGCGGGGACAAUAAUGAUGGUACCCGCAGAAGCAGGAGCGGCUAACUACGUGCCAGCAGCCGCGGUAAUACGUAGGCUCCAAGCGUUGUUCGGAAUUACUGGGCGUAAAGCGAGUGUAGGCGGUCUGCCAAGUCGAUUGUGAAAUCUCCCGGCUCAACUGGGAGGGUGCGGUCGAAACUGACAGACUCGAGUUCGGGAGAGGAGAGUGGAAUUCCUGGUGUAGCGGUGAAAUGCGUAGAUAUCAGGAGGAACAUCGGUGGUGAAGACGGCUCUCUGGACCGAUACUGACGCUGAGACUCGAAAGCGUGGGGAGCAAACAGG
rnacentral:rRNA from 1 species